rnacentral:lncRNA from 1 species
CUCAAUAUGGGAAAAAUAUUAUUUCACAGAAAGUUUUUAUGUAGAUUUCUAUGUGUGGAUGUCUCUGUAUGUACCUACACGUAUACAUUUUAGUGUUUCCACAUUGCAUUAGGUGAAUAAAAUAUACACCAUACCACUGAAAAUAAAAAUAAAACUGUAAUCCGUUUCUCUGUGUUGUGGUUUUUAAGUCUGAAUAAAUAACAUCUCUUUAUUCCCCUCUUGGGUUGAGAAUUAAUUGUGAUGUCAAGCCUAAAACUUAAAGACAUUGAGAUGAAAAUAUCAACUUUUAUCAAGUAAGGCUGUUUAGAAAAUUUGCUUCAAAUCUAUAGCAGAGAGAGCUUGCCAAAACCCAAACUACUAAUAAAUGUACUUGAAUAGAUCUGAAAAAUUCAAAGCUUCCCCUGGUAAGCUUCAUACUAUAGGCACAACGAUUUGUGAAUUUUGAGGCUGGCAUGAAAACGGAGGGGAAAGGGAGGUGGAUUGAAUGUAUAUAAUUCCUCCUACAAAAUUUAGCAGAUAUUAUCUUUCGUUUACAGAGAUGAGCAUGUAAGUAAUGGAGAAAGAGGCCCCGUAUCACUCUAAGCCAGGAAGUCCUUUCACUUGGAAAUCUGAGUGGAGGGGAAAAGUUUCCGUACUCAAUGCAAUCAUGAUAAAAUAUGCUUAAACUAAUUUGAAUAAAAAAUUAAUAUAUAUGUGUGACUCUGUCAGGUAUACCAUAGCAAAUUCCUAUUCUAUUAGUCCCUUAUGUUACAUUUUUAAAAAUGGUUGAAUUCUUCCAUUCUAGGGGAACAAAGAAUUUAGACUAGUAACAAGAUAAGUAAGGCUUUUAUGGAUGUGCGCUUAAGUUUCAACAAGUUCAUAUGGGCAAUGAGAAAAAUAGUAGAAAGUGUGUGUGUGUAUAUGUACGUAUAUAUGCAUUUAUUUACACAUAUAUUUGCAUAUAUAUAUUUACACAUGUAUAUAUAUAUGCAAGAUGCAAAGACUUUAGAACGAACUGAUUUGAAAAUAUCUUAUUUUUUAAUAUAUCUCACUUAUAGCAAAAACACUGUUUACAAUAUAUAUAUAUCACUGUCAUUUUGAUGAUAUUUCCCAAUUCCAACUGUCACUGUUAACCCAAUACAGCUUAUAAAUUGCAUACCAAUCAAAAGCAUCAAACAUCUGGUAAACUCCUCUAAUAUAAAGGUAUUCUCAAGGGCCAAACCAAUAUUUUCCAUUAUAACUGGUGGGUGGUUUUCACUGUAUCUACUAUAAAGAGAAGCCACUAGGAGUUCUUGCCUAUUCUUUAUACCUUGGCCUCUUUUCACUUGCCUCUGUGAUUCAGGGAAAUAUUGUUGUUUAGAACAUAAUCAAAACUUGAAUAAUUUGUGACACACCCAUGGCAUGUGGAAGUUCCCGAAGCCCGGGACUGAACCCGUACCACAGUUGUGACCUGAACUACAUACAGCUACAGCCAUGCCAGACCUUUAACCCACUGUGCUACAAGGGAACUUCCUCAAAUUUAAAUUUCUAACUUAUCGUGACAAAGACAUUACAAAAAUCAUAAAUUAGAGAAAUGCCGAGGAUAGAAAUAUGAGAGGGGUAUAGACAUGCUAAUAGAAAACUCCAGGGAGUGUGGACAUCUAACUGUCAAAUCUGGAGAGGACCCUGGCUUCCUUGCUCACUUGUUCUAAGAGGUACCUCCUCACACACGCACAGUCACUGGCAAGUCCUUGCUGCACUCUUGCGCAUCACCCACUGGGGCGAUUUUUUUCUUUUAUGGCAACAGAGAAAUGACACAGAACACUAUGCAGUAAUCUGGCAGUCUUGCAGAUCCUUUCUUUCAAUCUAACCCUCAAUGGAAGCAGUCCAAGGACCAAUCUCAAAACCGGGGAAAUUGUAAAGUAACCAAGCUGAUUCUAAUUUUCCAACCCAUGAAUAUGUUGGUAGGUUGUAGAGGUUCUUAGGAAAGUGUAUACAAUCCAUGAAAAAUUGAAUACAUCUUGUUUUCUACUAUACUCACAUUUUCUGGACACAUAGUUAGAUGGUAAAAUAAUACUUAGGGCAUAAGAAGAGAGGAAAUAAGACAUGAGUGAAAAUUGGGGUGAGAUAUAGAAGAGUUAGAAGACAGAUAUUAACUAUGGCAAUCAGAGGAAAAAACCCUGGGAAUUUAGUUUUUAGUUGAACAUCCAAAUAAAACUAUGUGUCCAGAAAAUAAUUAGAGUUUGCAAGAAGGCUCCAUCAAAUCUCUAUUUCUGGCCACCAUAUUCUAUGAAAACUUGCCUGGGAAAUGAGCUUCCUUCAAGUCAAAAAAGACAAGGGACGUAUUUUAAUAUUUUCAGAAGUAGACCAAAACACAGGAAAUUUCAGAUGAAUUCUUUCCCCCACACUUCCCAUCCGCCCGACUCAGUCCCUUCUUUCCCCUUUAGCUGUUUGGCCAUAUAGAAGGCUGGAGGGUUCCUUCUUUAGCACAGGUCCUUAGUCUUCUGCCUUAAAUAUACUCUUUAUAUCCAGGCAUUAGGUGAUCAGGUUCGUAAGUUUUUCUUCCAGGAGACAGAUUUACUCAAGCUCAUAUCUUGAAUGAAGGAAUAGAACAUGGUAUCAUAUCAGCAGCCACUGACUCAGUUCAUUCAAGGUUAAUUUGCUACUUUCCUGCAUGACAGUAACACCAUAAUUUGCUUAAAUUUUAGCAAAUGACCGCUAUUGCUAAAUACAGUGAAUAUACUACAUAUGAGCUUGUUACUCUUUCUGCCAUCAAACAUGUACUCGCUGGAAAGCUUUCAUUCAGGAGUUCCUGCUGUGGCUCAGCAGGUUAAGUUCCCAACAUAGUGUCCUUUGGACGCACAUUCGAUCCUGGCUUCCCUCAGUGGGUUAAGGAUCUGGCGUUGCCAAGAGCUUCAGAGUAGGUUGUAGACAUGGCUCAGAUCUGGUGUUCCCAUGGCUGCGGCAUAGGCCUGCAGCUGCAGCUCUGAUUUGAUCCCUAGCCAGGAACUUCUAUAUACCAUGGAUAUGGGCAUAAAAAGAAAAAAAAAAGCAUCUGUUCAAUGCCAACCGUAAUAGUAGGUCCUGGGGAGUCAAUUGUGAAUGUGACUGGCAUUACCCCUCUCCAAAGAACUCCUCUGGUGAAGGAGGUAAGUUUAAAAUUCUUAAGCAAUAAAUAUAACUCAAAGUUCUAGUAAAAGUUAUAAAGGAAACAAAGAAGCUGAAACAGAAGACAUCUGAGACCACGGAGGACCUACUUAAGACAGAGUCAUCCAACUAUUUACUUGGGAGGUAAACUUUCAUCUGAAAAGUGAAAGAAGAAUGAAGUGUCUGGCUAAGAGUGGUGUUGGGAAAAGAGCCCUUUAGCCUGUACCCGAUGUAGUAAUGGGAAAGUCCUGUGUCCCAUAAAGAGCCAAGAGUCGCACAUGGAGAACUUUUGAUGGAUUUCUGACUCAAAGAGCGAGGCAAGCUUUUUCAUACUGUAGACCGUUUACACUUGCAGUUUUAGAUGUCUCAGACAUUUCCCAGCUGACUCUUGGGCUAAAGCCUAUUCCCACAAAGCUUUGUUUCCAGCUGGCUGUCAAUCCAACCACCAAGAGUUUCAAACAAUUCUUGCUAAGGAACUAGAUAGCAAUGACCUAACACUCUGGGGUAAUUCUGUUUUAAAAGUGGACACAGAAAGACCAUAAAUCCAUUAAUAUUCAAAGGACUGAAGUUCUAGUGGAUCACCCAGCAGAAACGUGAGUUGGGUAGGUCAUGCCCACCCACUGUUACAGAAGCUAGUUUGUAAAUCUUUUCCCAUUAGGGUCCAUAUGAAAUUCAAACUUAUACACUAAAGGAACUUGAAAACUGCCAAUUACUUAUACCAAAAAAUGGGUUUGGUUCCAAUUUGAAUAAAUUAACACACACACACACAAACACACACACAGUGAUUAAUGUUCUACCAUGACCAGGUUACAUUCUUACAAUUGUUUCCUUGCCCCUUUAGUCAAUUAAAGCUAUUUUUAUAAUUAUUAGAGUCAUUAAGUUUGAGAACAAGUUUUUGUUAUCCAAAAUAAUUAUCCAUGCUACUUCCCUGGAAAACAGUUCUAUGGCUGCACUGUCCUAUGGUUUUUAGGUUGAGCAGAGGACACUUUGUAUAGCUCUGUCAAUCUUUGACCACUGCUAAAUUAGCAAACACUUUACAUUAAUAUCCUGAAUAGUUUGACACAUCGCCCCAUAAUCACGUAAUUUGUACCAAUGUAAUAUGGCUUAUGAUUCAAUAAGUAAACACAGAUUUUUAAGGAAUGUGUAUACGCAGUAGCAUUUUUAACUCAAUAAAAUGUUUUAAAACUAUUUUUUUCAAACAUUUGGGGUUUGGCAAAACAUAAAAUGCCUUGGCCAAGCACUCUUCCUCCAAUUUUUAAAGCCAGUGCAUUUCAAGGGAAAUUUAAUUCAUAUGUUUCUAGUAUAUUUACACUUAGUUUAUUUAAAUGGUGUUUUGUAAGAGCUUUGUGAGGUCCAAGAAGUCAAUAACAAGUUUAUAAAGUGUUUUAAAUUUCCUUUACAUUGAACCAGGUGAGCAAAUUUUGUUUCAAAUAAUAAAAAUUCAUGGAUUUACCUUAAAAUGUGAUAUUCUAUAACACUUACUGUAUUCAAACUGUGUAAAAGUUACAUAUUAUUCCCAAAUAGGUCUCAAUAAUAUGGCAUCAGCUACCACCCAAGCAUCCAGUGUAGGGCUGGUCUGGAACAAAGUUAAAGAAACUGGUUGAGAUCAAUCCAGGGUGUGAAACAUCUGGCCUAUGGCUUAUUGGCCAAGCCAGCUACACAAAGGAAACUUCUCAAACACUUCUAGAAAUAGCUGGCUCUACUAACCAUAUCCUAGUUCUUCCAUUUACUAGCAGUAACUUCAGACAAGGCACUUAACUUUCCCCCAGCCACUCUCAAUUUCUUUUAGCCAAAAAAAAAAAAAAAAA